rnacentral:rRNA from 1 species
UCGAGCGGAAACGAUCCUAGCUUGCUAGGAGGCGUCGAGCGGCGGACGGGUGAGUAAUGCAUAGGAAUCUGCCCGGUAGUGGGGGAUAACUUGAGGAAACUCAAGCUAAUACCGCAUACGCCCUACGGGGGAAAGCAGGGGCUCUUCGGACCUUGCGCUAUCGGAUGAGCUUAUGUCGGAUUAGCUGGUUGGUGAGGUAACGGCUCACCAAGGCGACGAUCCGUAGCUGGUCUGAGAGGAUGAUCAGCCACAUCGGGACUGAGACACGGCCCGAACUCCUACGGGAGGCAGCAGUGGGGAAUAUUGGACAAUGGGGGCAACCCUGAUCCAGCCAUGCCGCGUGUGUGAAGAAGGCCCUCGGGUUGUAAAGCACUUUCAGCGAGGAAGAAUGCUUGUCGGUUAAUACCCGGCAAGGGAGACAUCACUCGCAGAAGAAGCACCGGCUAACUCCGUGCCAGCAGCCGCGGUAAUACGGAGGGUGCGAGCGUUAAUCGGAAUUACUGGGCGUAAAGCGUGCGUAGGCGGCUUGAUAAGCCGGUUGUGAAAGCCCCGGGCUCAACCUGGGAACGGCAUCCGGAACUGUUAGGCUAGAGUGCAGGAGAGGAAGGUAGAAUUCCCGGUGUAGCGGUGAAAUGCGUAGAGAUCGGGAGGAAUACCAGUGGCGAAGGCGGCCUUCUGGACUGACACUGACGCUGAGGUACGAAAGCGUGGGUAGCAAACAGGAUUAGAUACCCUGGUAGUCCACGCCGUAAACGAUGUCGACUAGCCGUUGGGGUCCUCGAGACCUUUGUGGCGCAGUUAACGCACUAAGUCGACCGCCUGGGGAGUACGGCCGCAAGGUUAAAACUCAAAUGAAUUGACGGGGGCCCGCACAAGCGGUGGAGCAUGUGGUUUAAUUCGAUGCAACGCGAAGAACCUUACCUACCCUUGACAUCGUG